GACACAACUGUUUAGACUUAAGAUUUUGCUCUAAACCUAAAACUUGUGGGUAGCGAAUGCUUGAUCCAAGUCUAGGUAGUUGACGAAUAUGAUAUGGGAAGGUUUUGAGCUACUAUUAAUCUUGCUCCUAGAGAUGCUAGAGUUCUGGAGAAUUUAUUUUGAAAAUCUUAAAUUGCUACAUGAUGAGUUCCUUUAUAAUGAGAGUUCAAAAUUCCUACCACAACCAAAUACUCAUGCUUACUAGAUUAGGAAAGCCUCUCAUUUAUAUAUUUCAUCCUAUAAGCAUUGAGGGUAGUUAAGCUGUGUUGACCCUAAGGAACUAGUCAUGCAGUUAAAGUCAAUAUUAUGUGCUCUCCAUCCAUUACUCUUAGCUACUUCUGUCCUUACAUGUAUGCAACCACUUACAUCCACUUCACCAUAUUCACUAUGUGCUACUUCUAUUCCUAGAAGUACCACCCACAUAUACGCACUAUACUCUGUGCUAUUUCUAUUCUGGGAACACGCACCUAUACUGCUUGUUGACACCUCGGGUGGCACACAGAAUUAACUACAAGCGCACGACUGUGAGUUGUAGCUUUUCACCAAAGAAGUAUUCCUAGGGUUAUCGAAUCCAUGAGGAAUGUGAAGUGAUCUAAAGGCUAGAAGGAAGGAUGACUAUAGGGAUAGAGCUAUAGAGGAUAACUACUAGGGUUGGUCCACUACCGUCACUACACUAAGGAAUUAUAUAUCCUUGACUUGUGCACUGUGAGUGUACGCGCCCUAAACUCACUCAAGAGAGUUGAUUAGGCACGACGCACAACAAGCUCUACGUUUUAAGGACUAGGCCCAACGUGGUGGAAUACAUAGGCUAACUGGGCUGUCACCACCUGCGCUACCAUAGCUAUCACUACUACAAAUAAUUUAUCGUGGCGGGCAAAAAUGAUUUUCCGAGGUGGGCAACUAAAACGCCUCGGAUGAAAGGUCACGGUUAAUGGGAUCUUUUCUGAGGCAGUUUGGUGCCCGCCUCAUUAAAUCGAAUAAAAAAACAAAAAAAAGCAAAAAAGCCCACAGCCUCACUGGGCCUGGAUUUGGGCAUCAUCACUGAUGCUUCUACCCACCGCCGCCGCCAAGGGGAGCUACUGCCACUGUGGAUCCAUGCGCCCACCAUGGAUCCGGCCACCAUGGCCAUGGAUCCGACCACCACGCCUAGGUGCGGAUCCAGCCACCACGAGCAGAUCUAGUGACCUCCCCCGUGGAUCUGGGCACCAUGGAUGCUGAUAUGCUUGGAGAAGCCGCUGAAGGAGCUCAGAUCCAUGACAUUGGAGACGAUGGGGCGCUGCGUCGUUGCUUGAAUGGGGAGAGGGAGAGGCCGUGCCACUGCUGGCCAUGGGG
rnacentral:lncRNA from 1 species